rnacentral:rRNA from 1 species
AGGGGCAGCGGUAUCGGAAGCUUGCUUUCGGUAGCCGGCGACCGGCGCACGGGUGAGUAACGCGUAUCGAACCUGCCUCAUACUCGGGAAUAGCCUUGCGAAAGUAAGAUUAAUGCCCGGUGUUUUCAGAGUCCCGCAUGAGGCUUUGAACAAAGAUUUAUCGGUAUGAGAUGGCGAUGCGUCCCAUUAGCUUGUUGGCGGGGUAACGGCCCACCAAGGCAUCGAUGGGUAGGGGUUCUGAGAGGAAGGUCCCCACAUUGGAACUGAGACACGGUCCAAACUCC